GCAGGUUGUCUUUUCUCCCCUCCCAGGUAGCUGGAGGUGAGACUGCGCUUUCCCCCAGGAAGGGAGCAGAUGCCUGGCCCAGGAUCGAAUCAGAAGCUGAGGCUCACUGCCCCCUGGAUGGGCAGUGAGUUGGUGGGUUCCAGAGACCAAGGUGUAGCCCAGCCCUGGCCCCGCUCCGUGACACCGAGAUGGCACCCCUGCCCGGAGGGGGAUGGAUGGGGUCCUCCUAGGCUGACCUCACAGUAGACCAGAACCCAGAGGGAAGACAAGGGGAGCGGGGACAGUCGGGGUCAAUGCUGGGAUCCAGAGAUCCUUUUCUUGAGUCAACUGUAUAACUUGUACUGGCAUUGUCUGGAUUUAUGUGGCCUUCCGGAGGAGUGAACGUCUUCAUGUUGAAUUAUCCUGGCCCGGAGGUGGAUGCAGGAAUCCGCUUGGAGAUAAUAAAGAUCGACACCGUGCCUUGGAAUACACCUUAGUACCCUGUAAUCUGUACGCCCUGGGGCUGCUUUAACCCCUUCACCGCUGUCUGUCGCAAGAGCCCCAGGUCCUUACCCUGUGGGGACGGAGCGCAGGGCAGGUUGCCCUGGGCUCCUGGGUCGCCUGGUUCUGCCUUCCCCUAACUGGAGAGGCCUCCUUCUUCUCCUGAGGACUGAGCCAUCUGCCCUGCUACUGGUUGGCUUGUUCAAGUCAGUGUCCAAAUUCUUACCUGCAGUUUCAAGGGGGCACUGGGAUGUCAGCAGAUGAGAGGACUCUGAGAAGCUAAUGACUUGUCCAAGGUCAGCUAGGAAGCAAGACCCAGGAUUCCCAAUCCAGGGCUGCUGUGAGGAUCAAACAAGAUAAUGUAUGCUAAGGCAUGCUGUGAACACUACGUGCUGGGUACAGGAGAAUGGAGGCCCCAGAGUGGGUGUAAUGACACUCUGUUGAUGAAGAUCUUGGCUGUGACCUCGGUGGGAAAUGAGCCAUGGACCAACCAACAAAGAAUGCACUAGAGCUGAAUAGCCAUCUGUAACAGAUAAGCAACUUGCCUCUAUGCGUAAGGAGCAUGGAGGCUAAUUUUCAAUGUACCUAGUCUGAUUUCUUCAUUAUCUCAAGAGGAAGAUAUUGACUGUCCCUUCUAUGGAUAAGGACCAAAGUGACUCAUUCUGCAUCUUCACCAAGUGAAAACGCCACAGAUAAUUUAAUCAUUCUCUAAUGCUAAAGAUCUUGCUUUUGACAAACCGUGUGGGUAAGGAGAGAAGAAAUUGAUAAUGACCAUAAAACAGCAAACUUACUCAUUUUCUAUGAAACAACAUCUUGACAGUUAGCUCUGUGUGUAAAGAACAUAGAGACAAAUAGCUGAUUUAAUCAUCCUAUAAUUGUGAGACCUGGCUGUUAAUUCUGAGACUGAGAAGCAUAAAAACUGAUAGUGAACAAUAGCAUGGCUGACUCAAUCGUUUAGUAAGAAUUAUUGUAGUCAACCAGGAGCAUGAAGACUAAUAUAACUAUUAUCCAAUGAAGAAGAUCUUGACUGUUACUUCUGUGGAAUGAAGACCAUGGUUGAUUUAAUCCGUCUUUGCUGAUGAAGAUCUUGGCUGCUACCUUUGUGGGAUGGAUGCAUGAUGAAUCAAUUAUGGAGUGUAGAAACUUAUAAUGGAUGCUCCCGGCCAAUUUAAGCAUCUCCAUGAUCAUGAGCUCUCUGGUUCCCUAGGAGCAUAGAGACCAAUAAUGGACACACUUGAGAUGAUUCUCUGUGGUUGGCUCCAUUGUUAGGAACAGAGACAUGAAUAGUGGUCACACAAGCUGAUUAAAGCACCUUUCAUUAUUAUGAGCUCUAUAGGAUAUGGAGACCAGCAAUGGAUCCAUUGGACCUGAUUCUUCCAUGGUCACAAGAUGUCUGCUUGUCUCUAUGUGUUUGGUACAUAGAAAGAAGGAAUGCACACACUCAAGGUGGUUUAAGUAGUAUGCCUCGACCAAUGAUCUCUGCAUUUGCCUGUAGGAACAUGGAUACCAACAAUGGGUGCACAACUCCAGUGGGCUGAAGCAUCUCCUGCGGUCACAAGCUCUAUGUUGCAGAGACGAAUAAUGGAUACACUUGAACUUACUUAGGCAUUUGGCUGUGAUCAGGUGCUCAUGGAUGCCCCUGUGUGUGAGAGCAUGAAAGCCAAUGGUGGCUGCGAAGGAAUGAAGUAGUGCUGCGAUGCAGAUGUCCCUUGAAAACAUUGUGCCAAGUGAAAGAAGGCAUAUGGAAAAGGUUACGUCAUGCAUAACUCCAUUUAUAUGAAAUCUCCAAAGUAGAAUGGAACCUCGAGCGGUCUGGCUGUGGUCAAGGUUGUCAUGCUGCUUCCGUGGUGGAAAGAGACCAUGGAUGGACAUCCCAAAGCUGGUUGAAGAAUUCUUGGUUACAAUCUCUAUGAUUGCAUCUCUGAUUACAGAGACCAGUAAAGAAAAUACUUGACCCGAUGUAAGCAUCUGCCAUGUUCAGGCGCUCCAGGCUAGCCUCUCUGUGUGGGAGCAUGAAGCCCGAUAAUCGACACACUCCAGCUGAUAUAAGCAUUUUCCAUAGUCAAAAGGUCUGUGAUGUCCUGUGUGUUCUGAGCAUAGAGAUGAAUAAUGCAUGCACUCCAGCUGCUAUAAGCACUUCCAUGGUUACGAGCUCUCUGGUUGCAUCUGUGAGUUAGGAGCAUAGAGACCAAUAAUAGACGCACGCUGAUUUAAGCAUUCUUCCAUGAUCGCAAGUUCUAUGGCUACAUCUUUGUGUUGGAGAAUGGAGACCAAUAAUGGCCGCACUGAGGCUGAUGUAAGCAUCUUCCAUGGUCAUGAGCUCCAUGUCUGCACUUAUGCAUUAGGAAUGUAUAGACCAACAAUGACACACACAAGCUUAUUAAAGCAUCUUCACAUGUAGGAGCGCCAUGGUUGCAUCUGUAUCUUAGGAGCAUGGAGAACAAUAAUGGUCAUCUUUGGUGAUUUAAGCAGUUCACCAUUGUCUCAAGCUCUGUGGUUGCAUCUAUGUGUGACGAGCAUGGAGCCCAAUAACAGAUGCUUGAGCUGAUUUCAGCUCCUGCCGUGAUGAAGAUCAUAGUGUUCCCUUUGAGUAUGGAAAAAGACGAAGAAUGAACUCACAAGAGAUGAUUCAGUGUCUUCCGUGGGCAUGAAUUCUGUGGUUGCCUCUAUAUAAUAGGAGGAUGGAGAUUAAUAAGAGAACUGGACCUGAUUUAAAGAUUCUUCCUUGAUCCCAACCUCUAAGGUUGCAUCUAUUUUAGGAGACUGGAGACCAGUAAUAGAAGCUCAAGGUGAUUUCUACCUUUAUUGUGAUCAAGGUCACCAUGUUUCCCUUUUAUAGGAAAGAGACCAUAAUGGACACAUUUGAGCUAACCAAGCAUUAUUCCAUGGCAGUGAGCUCUAUGAUGCCAUCUGUGUGACAGAAACACACAGAAACCAAUAACAGACAUACCACACCUUCCCUGAUUAUGGAGCUCCAGUUCCAUCUCUGUUUUAGGAGUUGGAAGACCAAUGACAGAUGCUCCAGCUGGUUUCAGCUUCCACCCUGAUCAAGAUUGUUGUAUUUCCUGUGUCUUAGGAGAGUAAACCAAGCUGAAUUAAACAAUAUUCCAUGGUGGCAAGCUCUGUGGUUGCAUCUCUGUUUUAGCACAGAGAACAAUAACAGACAUACUUGAGCUGAUUUAACAUCUUCCAUGAUCCUGAGUUCUGUGGUUGCCUCUGUAUAAUAGGAGGAUGGGAUAAAUGACAGAAAAAUUAGACAUGCUUCAAGAAUUUUACCCUGAUCAAGAGCCCCAGAAUUGUAUUUCUGUACUGGGGAGACAGGAGACAAAUAAAUGAUGCACUCCAGCUGAUUGUAACAUUCUUCCAAGGUCGUGAGCCCUCUGGUUGCAUCUGUGUUGGAGGAGCAUCAAGACUAUAACAGAUGCUUGAGCUGAUUUCAUCUUCUGCUGUGAUCAGGAUUGUCAGAACCGACAUACUCAAGCUAAGAAUUGUUUUAUGGUGGUGAGCUCUAUGAUCGCAUCUGUACGUUAGAAGCACAGAGACCAAUAAUAGUCACCCUUGCUGAUUUAGACAUUCCGCCAGUCACGAGCUCUGUGGUUGCAUCUAUGUGUGAAGAGCAUGGAGCUCAAUAAUGGAUGCACUCAAGCUGAUGAAAGCAUUUUCCAUGGUCUUGAGGUCCUUGUUACCUCUGUAUAAGAAGAGGACAGAGGUUAAUAACAGACACACUGGACUUGCUUUAAGGAUUCUUCCCUGAUCAUGAGCUCCAGGGCUAUAGUUCUGUUGGAGGAGUCUGGAGACCAAUAAUGGUCAUUCUUGGCUGAUUUAAGCAGUCCACCAUGUCCUGGGAUCAGUGGUUGCAUCUAUGUGUAAAGAGCAUGGAGCCCAACGUGAAUAAUGAAUGAUGCACUUGAGCUGAUUUAACAUCUUCCAUGGUCAAGAGCUCAAUGGUUGGUUCUAUAUAAUAGGAGGACAGAAAUUAAUAAUGGACAUACUUGAGCCUAUUUAAGGAUUCAUUUACAGUCAUGAUCUUUAUGUUUGCAUCUACCUGUUAAGAGCAUAGAAAUCAAUAAAUCAAGAUGAUUUGAGCACCUUCUGUAGUCUAUGUUGCAUCUCUUUGUUAGGAGGCUAAAGAUCAU